GGAAGUGGAAGCGACGUGAGGAUUCCCAGGAGGCGGGGAAGACCGGCCGAAAGGGCAACACCUCCCCUUCAGGAAGGGAGGGGAAGACCAUAAGUGGUAGCUGAAGAGUGACAGGAUGCUGAUGAAGAACAUGGCCGCCACAAAGAAGAGGAACAAUACGUGGAACUUUGCAUGAGUGUCCGGCAGCUGAUUCUGUUGAGAAAGAAAUCAAAGAUGAGAAGACAACAAAGCCAAAAUUUCAGAAGUCCAUCCCUAGCAACCGGGCCAUGGAAACAUGUUCAACAAAAUACCAAUGAAAAUACACAGCGAAAUGAGUCAACAGUGCAACAUCACACCAAACAGCCACAGUCACAACAGUACAAAGCAAGCCUGAACUGAGAAACUAAAGGCCCCAGCAAUAAGGAAGAAAGCGUUAACAGGAAUCUAUACAGGAAAUAAAGGAACAGGUGCCGAGGGGGAGAACAAGGAGAGAAGGAGAGACAGAGAAAAAUUACCUCUUUCGAGGGGUUGGCUGGCUUGGAAAUGAUGGUCUUCCAG